rnacentral:rRNA from 1 species
GUGGGGAAUAUUCCGCAAUGGACGAAAGUCUGACGGAGCAACGCCGCGUGAGUGAUGAAGGUUUUCGGACUGUAAAGCUCUGUUGUUUAGGACGAAAGUGCCUGUUGCGAACAGUUACAGGUAUUGACGGUACUGAACGAGGAAGCCACGGCUAACUACGUGCCAGCAGCCGCGGUAAUACGUAGGUGGCAAGCGUUGUCCGGAAUUAUUGGGCGUAAAGAGCAUGUAGGCGGGAAUCUAAGUCUGUUGUGAAAAUGCGGGGCUCAACCCCGUAUGGCGAUGGAAACUGGAUUUCUUGAGUGCAGGAGAGGAAAGGGGAAUUCCCAGUGUAGCGGUGAAAUGCGUAGAUAUUGGGAGGAACACCAGUGGCGAAGGCGCCUUUCUGGACUGUGUCUGACGCUGAGAUGCGAAAGCCAGGGUAGCGAACGGGAUUAGAAACCCGGGUAGUCC